rnacentral:rRNA from 1 species
ACGAACGCUGGCGGCGUGCUUAACACAUGCAAGUCGAACGGAAAGGCCCUGCUUUUGUUGGGUGCUCGAGUGGCGAACGGGGGAGUAACACGUGAGUAACCUGCCCUUGACUUUGGGAUAACUUCAGGAAACUGGGGCUAAUACCGGAUAGUAGCUCCUGCUGCAUGGUGGGGGUUGGAAAGUUUCGGCGGUUGGGGUUGGACGCGCGGCUUAUCAGCUUGUUGGUGGGGUAGGGGCUUACCAAGGCUUUGACGGGUAGCCGGCCUGAGAGGGUGACCGGCCACAUUGGGACUGAGGUACGGCCCAGACUCCUACGGGAGGCAGCAGUGGGGGAUAUUGCACAAUGGGCGGAAGCCUGAUGCAGCAACGCCGCGUGCGGGAUGACGGCCUUCGGGUUGUAAACCGCUUUCGCCUGUGACGAAGCGUGAGUGACGGUAAUGGGUAAAGAAGCACCGGCUAACUACGUG